UGCCAGCGGGCCGCAGCGUCCCCGCGCCCGCACGCCGGGACGCCCCCACUCCGGCCGCAGUCUCGCGGAUGCCGCCCCCAAAGGGUCCCAGUCGUGAGUCUGCGCCCAGAAAGCGCAGGGGGACACGCUGACUCCGAGGUGCGGCGCCAACCCCGGCGGAGCUGCACAUGGAUAGUCCUGGCUCUAGGGGAAGAGUCGCAGACCUCUGGAAAUCCUGUUCCUCUCAUCUGAGCUUCUGAUAGCUACCGAGCAGCAGCCACACUGAGAUUUUUCAAUUACAGAGAAAUUGGCCCAUACAAAAAUCUCAGAGAAAACUCAAGGUCAAACAAGUCCUCUGAUUCAAGUAUU